rnacentral:rRNA from 1 species
UACGUAGGGGGCUAGCGUUGUCCGGAAUCAUUGGGCGUAAAGCGCGUGUAGGCGGUCCGGUAAGUCCGCUGUGAAAGUCGGGGGCUCAACCCUCGAAUGCCGGUGGAUACUGUCGGGCUAGAGUGCGGAAGAGGCGAGUGGAAUUCCUGGUGUAGCGGUGAAAUGCGCAGAUAUCAGGAGGAACACCAAUUGCGAAGGCAGCUUACUACACAGUGAUUGACACUGAGGCACGAAAGCGUGGGGAUCAAACAGG